rnacentral:rRNA from 1 species
UACGUAGGGGGCAAGCGUUGUCCGGAAUCAUUGGGCGUAAAGAGCGUGUAGGCGGUUCGGUAAGUCGGCUGUGAAAGUCCAGGGCUCAACCCUGGGAUGCCGGUCGAUACUGCCGGACUAGAGUUCGGAAGAGGCGAGUGGAAUUCCCGGUGUAGCGGUGAAAUGCGCAGAUAUCGUAAGGAAGACCAGUGGCGAAGGCGGGUCUCUGGACAGUUCCUGACGCUGAGGCACGAAGGUCAGGGGAGCAAACGGGG